CUCCCUCUCUUCACCUCAACUCUUCUUGCUCUUCUCCCACCCACGUCCUAAGAAGUCCGGCCCGGCGAGCGCCGCAACUUUCAAGUUUUCUUUGUCUCACAAUAACUGCAUACAUCUGCGAGGUCUGGAGAAUCUUCGUGGAAGUUAUUCUUUUUCUUUUGUUUGUUUGUUAAGAGUUAUCAGACUGUUAAGCCAAGCAACUUCAAAGUCAGGACCAACCAAGUUCCCUUUUUAAGCAUUACUUCCGUCGAAUUAACGUCCACUGCUCCCACCGACGUUCGGGCCCAGACAUGUGGGUCCCCUACGCCAGCAACGAUCCAGAGGACAUCAAACCGUCGAACCAAGCCAGGUUAACGGCCUAUCACUGCAAGUUUUCUUCAACCACAAGCCGCCUAGGACGGACCUCCAGGAUAAAACCUGCUAGUAAAAAGCCGGUGCCGGCGUGCCAAGCCGCUGAACCUGGACGCCUAGGACCUGAGCGCUAACUAGUCACGGGGCCACCCGAACACCAUCCGGCUGAGAAACCAACAAGCACCAACUCCAGGGGCUCCGGAGCAGACCCCACCACAGAGCCAGCCUUCUUUAUUAGCUUCUUCAGUCUCCCCCCCGCCUCCCCCCGCCCCCCCAGUCUACCCCAGCAGACAGCUGCAAAGAAAAAUGCGCUUUCGACAACAGACUGAUAGAACAUAUACAACAUCCUGCUGCGUACAUUAAAGGACCUAAGCUUCCUCAAGAAGUAGAGUCUGCACUGGCCCUUCUUGAAGACGGCCUCAGUGUUGUACUUCCUGUCCAGUCUGUUGUCAAGGUGCACACCCAGGUAUUUGAAGUUUUCCACCAACUCCACCUCCUCUCCCAGAAGGUGAAUGGUGUUCGGUGUUGUUGUCCUGGUCCUCCUAAAGUUCACCACCAUCUCCUUUGUCUUUGCCACGUUUAGGAGGAGGUGGUUGUUCCCACACCACAACACAAAGCGGUCAACCAGAUCCCUGUCCUCAGUAAGAGGGCUAUGCCUAUACUCAUAGUCAGAAUCUGGAGUCAAGAUAUAUAACUAAUUUUUAGCUAGCUAGCCGCACAGUCCUUUUGGUUACUCCACGUUAAACAGACAUACCCUGGACUGAUGACCUGGGCAAACAGUAUAUGGACACAACUCUCAUUAUCAUGUUGGAAAUAUGUGGGGGGAAAACGGAAAUAGAUUAGUGUGCCAAUAGGUAAAUAAAGGAGUUGAAAAUAUAAUGAGGUUAAAUGAGUAUAUAGUAUACAGCAUUAUUUCUUUUCACACUUAUUUAUUGAUGUAACAUAUUUAGCUAUGUCUUCAACUUGUCUGCUUAAACUAAAUUCAUCAGCGAUUUAACAUCAGCUUACAUUUACUUGAAGCUAAUCUACUGUCCUAUUUUCUUGCCUACAGGGAGAUUUUUAGAGGUGUAAGCACAGACACGGGGGUCAGGUGUGCUUUCACACAUCAUUUCCUCAAAUGCAUCUUUCCCAUGGAGAUAGCUUAAUGAUCUGUCUGUAAACUUACUGAGUUACUUUAAAAAUACAGUCACAUAGAUUUCUUUUAAAAACUUGCUGAGACAAACCGUGAAGGAGAAAUAUUUCCCUUUUCAAUAUAUGCUUCACUGACUGCAGGAACCUCUCCGAAUCCCUUUUUCAACUGUGUCAUAAUGGAUGAAGGCUGCAAAUAAACUUUUGAUUUAUAUCUGCAAUAAUUCCUUUGGAUUUAUGCUCACCAUCCACUCUGUAUGCAGAAUGUCCACUUUUAAAUCAUUCUCUCCUUUUCUGUCAGCAUAGAAUUCUCCCAACGGGGAUGAGCGACUCACAAAUGCAAGUGUUUAGCAGAAAACCAGCUGUUUCUCUGGUGGAGGCUUGGUAAAGUAGGAGUGAUAAAAGCAAGGCAAGAGUGUAAGAUGUCUGAGCAUGCUCUAAAACUCUAUUGUUUGAUCGCCUGCUCAUUUGCCAGCAUACAUCCUGUUGUGUAAAUACACGUUUUGUUUCCAUUUCCAAAAAAAGUGCUCUCCUGCAAUAUGAGUGGGACCUAUCCUUCACGACUCUGCAGUGCCUUUAUCUGGUAACUUUCUUCUUUCUGAUAAGCAGUUCCAGAGCCAAUCAUCUGGAACUUAUAACUCAAACAUGUGAAAGGGAAGUUUUACCAAGGGAAGUAAGUAGAAGGAGGGGAGAAUGAAUAAAAAACUUUCCUCCAACCUUCUCCGUCACUAUGAGCAAUAUGUUUCACGUUACUCAUAGUUAUUUGAUCCAUUGUUAAUAUAAAAAUAUACAUUAGUACUGCUUUAACCAAGCUUUCUUCCUGUGCUGCACACACUCUUAUGUUGUUCACACAUUCAUGGCUGCCUCUCUCAGCGUUGGCAGCACCCUGUUUAUAAUCUCAACAUAUCUGAGCCCAUUGCUUCAGCACUGCCUAUGUAAGUGGCCAUUGUGCGAGCAGCGGGCAGCUGGUAUGGGCAAAGACAAAACAUGUACCUAGCUAUAGUACUCAUGCCGCCAGCCACAUCACCAGCCACCACAGUCCAACAACAUGCUGUGGGCAAGUGGUGUCAGAACGUUGUCAUCCGUGGAAAUAUUUAUGUCAUCUCAGAUAAGCAGAGGAGUAAAGCUCUCGGGCUGCACACUGCUGUCCACAAACAUAGGAAAUUUUAUCAUACAUUCAAGGCGUAUUCAUUUACCAGCCUGUAUGCUUGUGAAUCCACUGGAGAUUUAUUAGUUCAGUAUCCAAAUUGAAAAAGUGAAUGAAAGAGUAAUAUGGUUUACAAAUGUAAUAACUCUGAAACACAAAAAAAAAUUGGCAUUUAAUAUUCCUUAAUGUGAGGGAAAAGAAUUAGCUUUAACCACUUCUGGAUGGCUGAUGAGACUUUAAGUUGAUUCCUGCAAAAUGAAAACCAACCAGAGCCGCCUCAAAGAGAGAUGCCCUUGAAUCACUGUGGAAUAAAAUUCUACAUCGCCCCCAGACUUAAGCCUCAUGAUGAAAUCCACCAUUUUCUGUUAUGACAGCAAGCAAAUGAGUGUGUGCUUCAGGAUAUGAGGAAAAAGCCCAAGAGUGUGUAAUUAAAAAGGUAAGAAUUUAAAUAUUGUGAGUAAGGAUCAGAACAAAUGACCUCUUUAAUAACAGAGGGUGAUUAAUGUGUUAACUGCGUGGUAAAUCACAAAGGGGGAAACAAAAAGGUCGCUGUAACUCACAUGAAAUUUGUUUUUAAGUAGCAUGCAUAUAAUACGUUUUUUCAGGGUGCCUAUUAUUCAGGGCUGUCAUUUUUUUAUUACCAUAAAAUGAAUGAUAUGCGCAGUCAUGCUUGCAAAUGUACUGGCUUUGUGUUGACUCCAGGUUGGCAGCUGCUUAUGAAUAAUACAGUCUAACUUGUUCUAUCUGACAAAUACUGUGAUUGACUGGCUUCUGAUGGACAGUUGUGAUCUUUGUAAUUGCAUGUAUUGUAUUUGAACAUUAAAAGCAAUGACCGAGA